AAUGAACGCUGGCGGCAUGCUUUACACAUGCAAGUCGAACGGCAGCGCGGGCUUCGGCCUGGCGGCGCGUGGCGAACGGGUGAGUAAUGCAUCGGAACGUGCCCAGCUGUGGGGGAUAGCCCGGCGAAAGCCGGAUUAAUACCGCAUACGACCUGAUGGUGAAAGCGGGGGAGCGAAAGGCCGCGCGCUAUUGGAGCGGCCGAUGUCGGAUUAGCUAGUUGGUGGGGUAAAGGCUUACCAAGUCGACGAUCCGUGGCUGGUCUGAGAGGACGACCAGCCACACUAGGACUGGAACACGGCCCAGACUCCUAAGGGAGGCAGCAGUGGGGAAUGUUGGACAAUGGGGGCAACCCUGAUCCAGCCAUGCCGCGUGCGGGAAGAAGGCCUUCGGGUUGUAAACCGCUUUUGUUCGGGAAGAAAUCCUCUGGGCUAAUACCACGGGGGGAUGACGGUACCGGAAGAAUAAGCACCGGCUAACUACGUG
rnacentral:rRNA from 1 species